rnacentral:tRNA from 1 species
AGGGGUGUAGUACAAUGGUAGUACAGCGGUCUCCAAAACCGUGGAUGCGAGUUCGAUUCUUGUCACCCCUGCCA